AGGCGAUGAAGGACGUACUAAGCUGCGAUAAGCUAUGGGGAGCUGCUAAGAAGCUUUGAUCCAUAGAUUUCCGAAUGGGGCAACCCAAUACAUAGAGAUAUGUAUUACCUUUAAUGGAGCGAACCUAGCGAAGUGAAACAUCUCAGUAGCUAGAGGAAAAGAAAUCGUAAUGAGAUUCUCCUAGUAGCGGCGAGCGAACGGGGAAGAGGGCAAACCAGUAGCUUGCUACUGGGGUUGAGGACUGCAAUAUCCACUUGAAUAAUGUAGCAGAAGUGUUUGGAAAAACACAUCACAGAGGGUGAUAGUCCCGUAUGCGAAAUAUUAUUCAUAGGUAGCAGGAUCCAGAGUAGGCCAGGACACGUGAAAUCCGGGCUGAAGCCGGGGAGACCACUCUCCAACCCUAAAUACUACUAUCACACCGAUAGCGAACAAGUACCGUGAGGGAAAGGUGAAAAGAACCGCAGUGAGCGGAGUGAAAUAGAACCUGAAACCAUCUGCCUACAAUCAUUCGGAGCCCUAUGAUUUAUCAGGGUGACGGACUGCCUUUUGCAUAAUGAUCCUGCGAGUUGUGGUAUCUGGCAAGGUUAAGCACACGCGAAGCCGUAGCGAAAGCGAGUCUUAAUAGGGCGUUUAGUCAGAUGCUGCAGACCCGAAGCCAAGUGAUCUAUCCAUGGCCAAGUUGAAGCGAGUGUAAUAGCUCGUGGAGGACUGAACUCGUACCCAUUGAAACGGGUUGGGAUGAGCUGUGGAUAGGGGUGAAAGGCCAAACAAACUUGGUGAUAGCUGGUUCUCUUCGAAAUAUAUUUAGGUAUAGCCUCAAGUGAUAGUAAUAGGGGGUAGAGCUCUGAUUGGGCUAGGGCUGCUCACCGCGGUACCAACCCCUGUCAAACUACGAAUACCUAUUGCCUUAUCUUGGGAGUCAGGCGGUGGGUGAUAAAAUCAAUCGUCAAAAGGGGAACAACCCAGACUACCAACUAAGGUCCCAAAGUUCUAUUCUAAGUGGAAAAUGAUGUGAAGUUACUCAGACAACCAGGAGGUUGGCUUAGAAGCAGCCAUCCUUUAAAGAAAGCGUAACAGCUCACUGGUCUAGUGAUUUUGCGCAGAAAAUAUAACGGGGCUAAGAUAGACACCGAAGUUGUAGAUUCUAUGCUGGUGCAUAGAGUGGUAGAAGAGCGUUCGUAUCAGCGUUGAAGGCAUACCGGUAAGGAGUGCUGGAGCGAUGCGAAGUGAGCAUGCAGGAAUGAGUAGCGAUAAAAGUGGUGAGAAUCCACUUCGCCGAAAGUCUAAGGUUUCCUACGCGAUGCUCGUCAUCGUAGGGUUAGUCGGGUCCUAAGACAAGUCAGAAAUGGGUAGUCGAUGGAAAAUGGGUUAAUAUUCCCAUACCAACAUUAGUGUGCGAUGGGGGGACGCAUAGGGCUAAGUAGCGUUAGCUGAUGGAAGUGCUAAUUUAAAAGCGUAGAUUGAGAGAUAGGUAAAUCCGCUCUUGUAUUCGAAACUUGAAUAGCUUGUUGCGAUCUUCGGAUCAAGAUGAGUGCUACUGACGCCGUCGUGCCAAGAAAAGCCUCUAAGUUUAGCUAAUGUUGCCCGUACCGCAAACCGACACAGGUAGAUGAGAUGAGUAUUCUAAGGCGCGUGAAAGAACUCUGGUUAAGGAACUCUGCAAACUAGCACCGUAAGUUCGCGAUAAGGUGUGCCACAGCAAUGUGGUCUCAGCAAAGAGUCCCUCCCGACUGUUUACCAAAAACACAGCACUUUGCAAACUCGUAAGAGGAAGUAUAAGGUGUGACGCCUGCCCGGUGCUCGAAGGUUAAGAGGAUUCGUUAGCAGUAAUGCGAAGCGUUGAAUUGAAGCCCGAGUAAACGGCGGCCGUAACUAUAACGGUCCUAAGGUAGCGAAAUUCCUUGUCGGUUAAAUACCGACCUGCAUGAAUGGCGUAACGAGAUGGGAGCUGUCUCAACCAGGGAUUCAGUGAAAUUGUAGUGGAGGUGAAAAUUCCUCCUACCCGCGGCAAGACGGAGAGACCCCGUGGACCUUUACUACAGCUUGGCACUGCCGAUGGGAGCAUUAUGCGCAGGAUAGGUGGGAGGCUUUGAAAUCUUCACUCUGGUGGAGAUGGAGCCAUCCUUGAGAUACCACCCUUAAUGUUUCUGUCUGCUAACUGGCUAGAGUUAUCCUCUAGCAGGACAAUGCCUGGUGGGUAGUUUGACUGGGGCGGUCGCCUCCUAAAAAGUAACGGAGGCUUGCAAAGGUUGGCUCAUUGCGGUUGGAAAUCGCAAGUAGAGUGUAAUGGCAUAAGCUAGCCUGACUGUAAGACAAACAAGUCGAGCAGAGACGAAAGUCGGUCAUAGUGAUCCGGUGAUUCUGUGUGGAAGGGUCAUCGCUCAAAGGAUAAAAGGUACCCCGGGGAUAACAGGCUGAUCUCCCCCAAGAGCUCACAUCGACGGGGAGGUUUGGCACCUCGAUGUCGGCUCAUCGCAUCCUGGGGCUGGAGCAGGUCCCAAGGGUAUGGCUGUUCGCCAUUUAAAGCGGUACGCGAGCUGGGUUCAGAACGUCGUGAGACAGUUCGGUCCCUAUCUGCCG
rnacentral:rRNA from 1 species